UCGGCGGCAGCUUACACAUGCAAGUCGAGCGGAGUGAUGGUGCUUGCACUAUCACUUAGCGGCGGACGGGUGAGUAAUGCUUAGGAAUCUGCCUAUUAGUGGGGGACAACAUUUCGAAAGGAAUGCUAAUACCGCAUACGUCCUACGGGAGAAAGCAGGGGAUCUUCGGACCUUGCGCUAAUAGAUGAGCCUAAGUCGGAUUAGCUAGUUGGUGGGGUAAAGGCCUACCAAGGCGACGAUCUGUAGCGGGUCUGAGAGGAUGAUCCGCCACACUGGGACUGAGACACGGCCCAGACUCCUACGGGAGGCAGCAGUGGGGAAUAUUGGACAAUGGGCGCAAGCCUGAUCCAGCCAUGCCGCGUGUGUGAAGAAGGCCUUAUGGUUGUAAAGCACUUUAAGCGAGGAGGAGGCUACUGAAGUUAAUACCUUCAGAUAGUGGACGUUACUCGCAGAAUAAGCACCGGCUAACUCUGUGCCAGCAGCCGCGGUAAUACAGAGGGUGCAAGCGUUAAUCGGAUUUACUGGGCGUAAAGCGCGCGUAGGCGGCUAAUUAAGUCAAAUGUGAAAUCCCCGAGCUUAACUUGGGAAUUGCAUUCGAUACUGGUUAGCUAGAGUGUGGGAGAGGAUGGUAGAAUUCCAGGUGUAGCGGUGAAAUGCGUAGAGAUCUGGAGGAAUACCGAUGGCGAAGGCAGCCAUCUGGCCUAACACUGACGCUGAGGUGCGAAAGCAUGGGGAGCAAACAGGAUUAGAUACCCUGGUAGUCCAUGCCGUAAACGAUGUCUACUAGCCGUUGGGGCCUUUGAGGCUUUAGUGGAGCAGCUAACGCGAUAAGUAGACCGCCUGGGAGUACGGUCGCAAGACUAAAACUCAAAUGACUUGACGGGCGACCCGCUCAAGCGUUGGCAUCAUGUUGGUUAAUUCGAUGCAACGCGAAGUACCUUACCCUGGUCUUGACUAGUAUAACUUCCCAGAGAUGGAUUGGUGACCCUC
rnacentral:rRNA from 1 species